UACAGAGGGCUCAAGCGUUGUUCGGAUUCAUUGGGCGUAAAGGGUGUGUAGGUGGCGCCGUAAGUCGGGUGUGAAAUUUCGGAGCUUAACUCCGAAACUGCAUUCGAUACUGCGGUGCUUGAGGACUGGAGAGGAGACUGGAAUUCAUGGUGUAGCAGUGAAAUGCGUAGAGAUCAUGAGGAAGACCAGUGGCGAAGGCGGGUCUCUGGACAGUUCCUGACACUGAGACACGAAGGCCAGGGGAGCAAUCGGG
rnacentral:rRNA from 1 species